CUUGGUCAUUUAGAGGAAGUAAAAGUCGUAACAAGGUCUCCGUUGGUGAACCAGCGGAGGGAUCAUUAUCGAGUCCCCGACUCCCAAACCCCCGUGCGAACCGUACCCCACGCGUUGCCUCGGCGGGACCGCCCCGGCCCCCCCGCCCCCCCGGGGGCGGGACCGGAACCAGGCGCCCGCCGGAGGGCCCCCAGAACUCUCUGUCGCAGUGGCAUUUUCUCUCCGAGUCAGACACACAAGCAAAUGAAUCAAAACUUUCAACAACGGAUCUCUUGGUUCUGGCAUCGAUGAAGAACGCAGCGAAAUGCGAUAAGUAAUGUGAAUUGCAGAAUUCAGUGAACCAUCGAAUCUUUGAACGCACAUUGCGCCCGCCAGUACUCUGGCGGGCAUGCCUGUCCGAGCGUCAUUUCCACCCUCGAGCGGACCCCGCCGCGCACAUCGUGCCGGCGGGGCGAGCCCGGCGUUGGGGGACCCGGCCGAACGCGCCGCCCCCGAAAUGCAGUGGCGACCCCGCCGCGCCCUCCCCUGCGCAGUAAGAAGCCUCGCACCCCGAGGGAGACACCUCGCACCGGAGGCGCGGAGGGCGGUCACGCCGUAAAACGACACACGCAACCUAGAGUUGACCUCGGAUCAGGUAGGGAUACCCGCUGAACUUAAGCAUAUCAAUAAGCGGAGGA
rnacentral:rRNA from 1 species